GGGAAGCAGGUUCCCUGCUAAGCAGAGAGCCCAAUGCAUGGCUCGAUCCCAUGACCCCAAGACCAUGACCUGAGCUGAAGGCAGCGGCUUAAUCCACUGAGCCACCCAGGCGCCCCAAUAAAUAAAAUCUUAAAAAAAAAAAAAAGGAAGAAGAAGUUUCCUAGAGAGUUAAAUCACCUGUAGAUGCACUUGUUAUACAAGGCAGUCCUGCUCUGGGCCCUAUUUCUAGGUUUUGGAUGACUCUUCCUGACACAGGAGACGUGGAUGCUCGGCGGUGACCCAUGGUGGGAAUUCUUCUGACCCGUUCUGGCCUCAGCCUCCUUAGCCAAGGGGCUCGGACCACAUCUUCUGGCUCCUCCGACAGUCUCCACCUUCCAAGACCAAUAUUACCUCCCAGAUGGACCCAGGAUCCCCACUUCAUUUUAUUUCUACCCCUCUCGGGACAUCUGUGUUUCCAAUUGGCCAAAGGGCAAGCUAAUGGGAGAGUCUGACACUUUGUGGAUUCAGCUGGAAAGUGUUUGGCAGUUGACUGGUAAUGUCUGCCAUGAGUGCAAAAGUGAAAAUAGGCGGACGCCUGGGUGGCUCAGUUGGUUGGGCAGCUGCCUUUGGCUUGGGUCAUGACCCCACUGUCCUGGGAUGGAGUCCCACAUCGGGCUCUCCGCUCGCCGGGGAGCCUGCUUCUCCCUCUGCCUCUGCCUGCCAUUCUGUCUGCCUGUGCUCGCUCCCCCCCCCAACCCGAUAAAUAAAUAAAAUCUUAAAAAAAAAAAGUGAAAAUAGGUCGUAAAUUCUGUAUUUACCCGCCCAUUUUCCUAGGAUUGAUGUGAGGGUGGAAUCACCAUUGUCAAUGAAUAUCUUCACGUUGCAAGAAAUGGACACCAUCACUGAAUCUUGCCUAAAACAAUGAAUUUUGGCUUCUGUAACUGUCUAGGGAUAAUGAGACUUCAGGUACGGUAUGAUCAGAGUUCUGGCUCAAUUUCUCUGAGACUCUCUUAGCCACAGGCCAGCUCUUUUCCACAGGCCAGCUCUGUCUACAAGGCGACCAAAUGCCUGCUACAAGUCCAGGUGGCACACCCACAGGUUACACUGACCUGGGGGGUCGACAGCACUGCUCUGAGCCAGCAGGCUAAGCAACAGCCCCGAGGUUGCUCCUCAUUGGACAAUUUCGGUCACAUGCCCAUCCCUGGAGCACAGAUCUUUGUCUGGGUGGAGGGGUGGGGUGGGGAGGAGUGGGGUAGAGGGGGAGCAGGGAGGAGGAACAGGGUUGUCCCCCAGGCUCACAGUUGAGGGAAAGAGUGAACCGUGGAAGAAAACCAGUCCAAAGGAGGGAAAGGAUGGAUGCUGGG
rnacentral:lncRNA from 1 species